GGAGGAGGCUUAGCCAACAAGAACUGCUAACUCUUGCAUCUGAGUCUAAACCCUCAGCCUCCUUA
rnacentral:tRNA from 1 species